rnacentral:rRNA from 1 species
UGGGGAAUAUUGCACAAUGGGCGAAAGCCUGAUGCAGCAACGCCGCGUGAGUGAUGAAGGCCUUCGGGUUGUAAAGCUCUGUCUUUUGGGACGAUAAUGACGGUACCAAAGGAGGAAGCCACGGCUAACUACGUGCCAGCAGCCGCGGUAAUACGUAGGUGGCAAGCGUUGUCCGGAUUUACUGGGCGUAAAGGAUGCGUAGGCGGAUUUUUAAGUGAGAUGUGAAAACCCUAAGCUUAACUUGGGGACUGCAUUUCAUACUGGAAAUCUAGAGUGCGGGAGAGGAGAAUGGAAUUCCUAGUGUAGCGGUGAAAUGCGUAGAGAUUAGGAAGAACACCAGUGGCGAAGGCGAUUCUCUGGACCGUAACUGACGCUGAGGCAUGAAAGCGUGGGUAGUAAACAGGAUUAGAUACCCUGGUAGUCCACGCCGUAAACGAUGAGUACUAGGUGUAGGAGGUAUCGACCCCUUCUGUGCCGCAGUUAACACAAUAAGUACUCCGCCUGGGAAGUACGAUCGCAAGAUUAAAACUCAAAUGAAUUGACGGGGUCAUAGCUGUUUUCCU